AUUGAACGCUGGCGGAAUGCUUUACACAUGCAAGUCGAACGGCAGCACGGGAGCAAUCCUGGUGGCGAGUGGCGAACGGGUGAGUAAUAUAUCGGAACGUGCCCAGUCGUGGGGAUAACGUAGCGAAAGCUACGCUAAUACCGCAUACGAUCUAUGGAUGAAAGCGGGGGAGUCGCAAGACCUCGCGCGAUUGGAGCGGCCGAUAUCAGAUUAGGUAGUUGGUGAGGUAAAGGCUCACCAAGCCGACGAUCUGUAGCUGGUCUGAGAGGACGACCAGCACACUGGGACUGAGACACGGCCCACGACUCCUACGGGAGGCAGCAGUGGGGAAUUUUGGACAAUGGGCGGCAAGCCUGAUCCAGCAAUGCCGCCGUGCAGGAUGAA
rnacentral:rRNA from 1 species